UAAAAAAGAAAAAAAGAAUAAUUUAUUGUAGGGAGAAGGAAAAACAAAUACAUAUAUCUCUCCCUUUAAUGAAGGAUAAAGGAAGAAAAGAGAUACCACUUAUGACCUACCUCAUGUAAACUGGACAGCAACGAGCUUUGUUGUGGGCAAUUGACUUUUCUUUUUCUUGGAAAAAUUGGGAGCAUGAAGCCAACUAUUUCCUGGAAAAAAACAAAUCCACUACUCUCCAAACCAACAACUAGGAAGACAACUGAAUUGAAAAACAUAUGAAAUCUACCCCGGAUAUCUACAUCAAUCACUAGUGUCAUACGCUACGUAUUCUAUUUUCUUCUUUAUAUAUACCUUUCAGUUAACAUUUGAUAACAAGGCACGUCUGGUGGGUGGCUCAAUCAAGUUUUUCCUUGGAUAGUUGCACGACUCGUGGAACUCUCAGUCUAAUAUUCUACGGUUCUUUAUCUUUUCUAUGCCAUACCUCUCUUUAAAAAGCAGUUUAAGCAAGCUCCCACACCCUCUGGUUCUCCUUCAAACUGACUGAGGGGAAAACUCCAAGAAUUGGUUGUAGUUGAUGGGAACAUGCAAGGAAAAUGAAGAGUUUGAGAGUGAUCGUAAAGAACCCAGGAAAAUUUUGAAGGCGUGCAUAGCUUGUUUGUGCUCAUUUUUGGUGAGCCUAUCAGGAGGGCUAAUUCUGGGUUAUUGGGAGUAUGAGUAUCACCUUACAAGUAGUCAGCUAUGGAUGGUGCCCUUUGGUCUUAUUCUUCUUGUUACUCCAGUGAUCAUUUUGGUGGCUCUUUUCGUCUCAGAAAUCUGUAUUUCGGAAGACGGCAACUCCAAAAGGAGUCAAGCCAUCAUUUCAUUAGAAGACUCAGAGAAAUGCUUGAAAGAAAUUGCAGUGUGUAAUUGAUUUGGGUUGCUAUAUGUUACAUCACUCGCUGUUAUAUAUUAGGAUUUGCUUUUGCUGAUGGUGCAUUAUUGUUCAUCUUAUAUAAAGCAUAAAUUUUAAGGUCAAAAUGAAAUUGAUUUGAUUGGACA